GAUGAACGCUGGCGGCGUGCCUAAUACAUGCAAGUCGAGCGAACAGAUGAGGAGCUUGCUCCUCUGACGUUAGCGGCGGACGGGUGAGUAACACGUGGAUAACCUACCUAUAAGACUGGGAUAACUACGGGAAACCGGAGCUAAUACCGGAUAAUCUAUUGAACCGCAUGGUUCAAUAGUGAAAGACGGUUUUGCUGUCACUUAUCGAUGGAUCCGCGCCGCAUUAGCUAGUUGGUAAGGUAACGGCUUACCAAGGCAACGAUGCGUAGCCGACCUGAGAGGGGGAUCGGCCACCUGGGAGUGGAGCCACGGACCAGACGCCUACGGGAGGCAGCAGUAGGGAAUCUUCCGCAAUGGGGGAAAGCCUGACGGAGCAACGCGGAGUGAGAGAUGAAGGUCUUCGGAGCGGAAAACUCGGUUAUUAGGGAAGAACAAAUGUGUAAGUAACUAUGGACGUAUUGACGGUACUUAAUAAGAAAGCAACGGCUAACUACGUG
rnacentral:rRNA from 1 species